rnacentral:rRNA from 1 species
UAGGGAAUUUUCGGCAAUGGGGGGAAACCCUGACCGAGCAACGCCGCGUGAGUGAAGAAGGUCUUCGGAUUGUAAAGCUCUGUUGUAAGGGAAGAAAUGUACUGUGAGAAACAGUACUUGACGGUACCUUACCAGAAAGCUACGGCUAACUACGUGCCAGCAGCCGCGGUAAUACGUAGGUAGCGAGCGUUAUCCGGAAUUAUUGGGCGUAAAGGGUGCGUAGGCGGCCAUUUAAGUUCAUGGUGAAAGCGUGGGGCUCAACCCCAUAAAGCCAUGGAUACUGGAUGGCUGGAGUACUGGAGAGGGUAGUGGAAUUCCAUGUGUAGCGGUAAAAUGCGUAGAUAUAUGGAGGAACACCGGUGGCGAAGGCGGCUACCUGGACAGAGACUGACGCUGAGGCACGAAAGCGUGGGGAGCAAAUAGGAUUAGAUACCCUGGUAGU